UUUUUGAGAUGAUCAGAAUAUUGGCCUACAGAAAUGACAGACACAUAUUAAGAAUUAGUUGGCUGUCAAUUCAUAGGUCAUCUUCCUGGUCACCAGUAAAGUAGU